GGUUAAGCGACUAAGCGUACACGGUGGAUGCCCUGGCAGUCAGAGGCGAUGAAGGACGUGCUAAUCUGCGAAAAGCGUCGGUAAGGUGAUAUGAACCGUUAUAACCGGCGAUGUCCGAAUGGGGAAACCCAGUGCAAUUCGUUGCACUAUCGUUAACUGAAUACAUAGGUUAACGAGGCGAACCGGGGGAACUGAAACAUCUAAGUACCCCGAGGAAAAGAAAUCAACCGAGAUUCCCCCAGUAGCGGCGAGCGAACGGGGAGCAGCCCAGAGUCUGAAUCAGCUUGUGUGUUAGUGGAACGGUCUGGAAAGUCCGACGGUACAGGGUGAUAGUCCCGUACACCAAAAUGCACAGGCUGUGAACUCGAAGAGUAGGGCGGGACACGUGGUAUCCUGUCUGAAUAUGGGGGGACCAUCCUCCAAGGCUAAAUACUCCUGACUGACCGAUAGUGAACCAGUACCGUGAGGGAAAGGCGAAAAGAACCCCGGCGAGGGGAGUGAAAAAGAACCUGAAACCGUGUACGUACAAGCAGUGGGAGCACCUUCGGGUGUGACUGCGUACCUUUUGUAUAAUGGGUCAGCGACUUAUAUUCUGUAGCAAGGUUAACCGUAUAGGGGAGCCGCAGGGAAACCGAGUCUUAACUGGGCGUUAAGUUGCAGGGUAUAGACCCGAAACCCGGUGAUCUAGCCAUGGGCAGGUUGAAGGUUGGGUAACACUAACUGGAGGACCGAACCGACUAAUGUUGAAAAAUUAGCGGAUGACUUGUGGCUGGGGGUGAAAGGCCAAUCAAACCGGGAGAUAGCUGGUUCUCCCCGAAAGCUAUUUAGGUAGCGCCUCGUGAAUUCAUCUUCGGGGGUAGAGCACUGUUUCGGCUAGGGGGUCAUCCCGACUUACCAACCCGAUGCAAACUACGAAUACCGAAGAAUGUUAUCACGGGAGACACACGGCGGGUGCUAACGUCCGUCGUGAAGAGGGAAACAACCCAGACCGCCAGCUAAGGUCCCAAAGUCAUGGUUAAGUGGGAAACGAUGUGGGAAGGCACAGACAGCCAGGAUGUUGGCUUAGAAGCAGCCAUCAUUUAAAGAAAGCGUAAUAGCUCACUGGUCGAGUCGGCCUGCGCGGAAGAUGUAACGGGGCUAAACCAUGCACCGAAGCUGCGGCAGCGACACUAUGUGUUGUUGGGUAGGGGAGCGUUCUGUAAGCCUGCGAAGGUGUGCUGUGAGGCAUGCUGGAGGUAUCAGAAGUGCGAAUGCUGACAUAAGUAACGAUAAAGCGGGUGAAAAGCCCGCUCGCCGGAAGACCAAGGGUUCCUGUCCAACGUUAAUCGGGGCAGGGUGAGUCGACCCCUAAGGCGAGGCCGAAAGGCGUAGUCGAUGGGAAACAGGUUAAUAUUCCUGUACUUGGUGUUACUGCGAAGGGGGGACGGAGAAGGCUAUGUUAGCCGGGCGACGGUUGUCCCGGUUUAAGCAUGUAGGCUGGUUGUCCAGGCAAAUCCGGAUAAUCAAGGCUGAGGUGUGAUGACGAGGUACUACGGUGCUGAAGUAACAAAUGCCCUGCUUCCAGGAAAAGCCUCUAAGCAUCAGGUAACAUCAAAUCGUACCCCAAACCGACACAGGUGGUCAGGUAGAGAAUACCAAGGCGCUUGAGAGAACUCGGGUGAAGGAACUAGGCAAAAUGGUGCCGUAACUUCGGGAGAAGGCACGCUGGUGUGUAGGUGAAGUCCCUGCGGAUGGAGCUGAGACCAGUCGAAGAUACCAGCUGGCUGCAACUGUUUAUUAAAAACACAGCACUGUGCAAACACGAAAGUGGACGUAUACGGUGUGACGCCUGCCCGGUGCCGGAAGGUUAAUUGAUGGGGUUAUCCGUAAGGAGAAGCUCUUGAUCGAAGCCCCGGUAAACGGCGGCCGUAACUAUAACGGUCCUAAGGUAGCGAAAUUCCUUGUCGGGUAAGUUCCGACCUGCACGAAUGGCGUAAUGAUGGCCAGGCUGUCUCCACCCGAGACUCAGUGAAAUUGAACUCGCUGUGAAGAUGCAGUGUACCCGCGGCAAGACGGAAAGACCCCGUGAACCUUUACUAUAGCUUGACACUGAACAUUGAGCCUUGAUGUGUAGGAUAGGUGGGAGGCUUUGAAGCGUGGACGCCAGUCUGCGUGGAGCCAACCUUGAAAUACCACCCUUUAAUGUUUGAUGUUCUAACGUUGGCCCCUGACCGGGGUUGCGGACAGUGUCUGGUGGGUAGUUUGACUGGGGCGGUCUCCUCCCAAAGCGUAACGGAGGAGCACGAAGGUUAGCUAAUCCUGGUCGGACAUCAGGAGGUUAGUGCAAUGGCAUAAGCUAGCUUGACUGCGAGCGUGACGGCGCGAGCAGGUGCGAAAGCAGGUCAUAGUGAUCCGGUGGUUCUGAAUGGAAGGGCCAUCGCUCAACGGAUAAAAGGUACUCCGGGGAUAACAGGCUGAUACCGCCCAAGAGUUCAUAUCGACGGCGGUGUUUGGCACCUCGAUGUCGGCUCAUCACAUCCUGGGGCUGAAGUAGGUCCCAAGGGUAUGGCUGUUCGCCAUUUAAAGUGGUACGCGAGCUGGGUUUAGAACGUCGUGAGACAGUUCGGUCCCUAUCUGCCGUGGGCGCUGGAGAAUUGAGGGGGGCUGCUCCUAGUACGAGAGGACCGGAGUGGACGCAUCACUGGUGUUCGGGUUGUCAUGCCAAUGGCACUGCCCGGUAGCUAAAUGCGGAAGAGAUAAGUGCUGAAAGCAUCUAAGCACGAAACUUGCCCCGAGAUGAGUUCUCCCUGAGACUUUAAGUCUCCUGAAGGAACGUUGAAGACGACGACGUUGAUAGGCCGGGUGUGUAAGCGCAGCGAUGCGUUGAGCUAACCGGUACUAAUGAACCGUGAGGCUUAACCUU
rnacentral:rRNA from 1 species